UACGUAGGGUGCAAGCGUUGUCCGGAAUUAUUGGGCGUAAAGGGCUCGUAGGCGGUCCAUCACGUCGGGGAGUGAAAAGCUGGGGCUUAACCCCAGUCCUGCUUCCGAUACGGGUGGACUAGAGGUAGGUAGGGGGAGAACGAAUUCCUGGUGUAGCGGUGAAAUGCGCAGAUAUCAGGAGGAACACCGGUGGCGAAGGCGGAUCUCUGGGCCAUUACUGACGCUGAGGAGCGAAAGCGUGGGGAGCGAACAGG
rnacentral:rRNA from 1 species